UACGUAGGGUGCGAGCGUUGUCCGGAAUUACUGGGCGUAAAGCGCGUGUAGGCGGCCAUCUAAGUCGGGCGUGAAAUCCCACGGCUCAACCGUGGAAGUGCACUCGAAACUGGAUGGCUAGAGUCCUGGAGAGGAAGGUGGAAUGCUUGGUGUAGAGGUGAAAUUCGUAGAUAUCAAGCGGAACACCGGUGGCGAAGGCGGCCUUCUGGACAGUGACUGACGCUGAGACGCGAAAGCGUGGGGAGCAAACAGG
rnacentral:rRNA from 1 species